UGGGGAAUCUUGGCCAAUGGGGGAAACCCUGAUCCAGCCAUCCCGCGUGUGCGAUGAAGGCCUUCGGGUUGUAAAGCACUUUUGGCAGGAAAGAAACGUCAUGGGUUAAUACCCCGUGAAACUGACGGUACCUGCAGAAUAAGCACCGGCUAACUACGUGCCAGCAGCCGCGGUAAUACGUAGGGUGCAAGCGUUAAUCGGAAUUACUGGGCGUAAAGCGUGCGCAGGCGGUUCGGAAAGAAAGAUGUGAAAUCCCAGAGCUCAACUUUGGAACUGCAUUUUUAACUACCGGGCUAGAGUGUGGCAGAGGGAGGUGGAAUUCCGCGUGUAGCAGUGAAAUGCGUAGAUAUGCGGAGGAACACCGAUGGCGAAGGCAGCCUCCUGGGAUAACACUAACGCUCAUGCACGAAAGCGUGGGGAGCAAACA
rnacentral:rRNA from 1 species